CUUGACAUCCAGCGAACUUUCCAGAGAUGGAUUGGUGCCUUCGGGAACGCUGAGACAGGUGCUGCAUGGCUGUCGUCAGCUCGUGUUGUGAAAUGUUGGGUUAAGUCCCGNAACGAGCGCAACCCUUAUCCUUUGUUGCCAGCGAUUCGGUCGGGAACUCAAAGGAGACUGCCGGUGAUAAACCGGAGGAAGGUGGGGAUGACGUCAAGUCAUCAUGGCCCUUACGAGUAGGGCUACACACGUGCUACAAUAGCGCAUACAAAGAGAAGCGACCUCGCGAGAGCAAGCGGACCUCAUAAAGUGCGUCGUAGUCCGGAUCGGAGUCUGCAACUCGACUCCGUGAAGUCGGAAUCGCUAGUAAUCGUGGAUCAGAAUGCCACGGUGAAUACGUUCCCGGGCCUUGUACACACCGCCCGUCACACCAUGGGAGUGGGUUGCAAAAGAAGUAGGUAGCUUAACCUUCGGGAGGGCGCUUACCACUUUGUGAUUCAUGACUGGGGUGAAGUCGUAACAAGGUAAGCGUAGCGAG
rnacentral:rRNA from 1 species